UUCAAAUUGUAUUUUAGGGUUUCAUCUUGUAUAUAUCAGUGUUGAAAGGUGAAUUGAACCAUACUUUCUAGUUCUUAAUUCUAUAUCUUGUUUCGACUAAUAAUAGGACAUUAUCUAUGUCGCUAUAUAUACUGUUCUGAAAAUGAUUUGAUGUACUUUCGAUUUUGAAUUCAUUCAAUUUAAAAUUUAAAUACAGCUUUGACUAAAAUAUUGAUUGUUCUGAUAUAAAACUGCAAUAUUAAAAUAUCGAAAUUGUUUCUAAAGUGUGUUCGGGUUGUAUCUUGUAUAUAUCAGUGUUAAAAAGUAGACCAUUAUCUAUGUCACUAUAUAAUUUUCUGAAAAUAAGAUGAUGAACUUUCGAUUUAGAAUUCAUACACUGCAGUUUAAAAACAAUCUAAACAAUUCAAAGGUAUAACAUAUAAUUGCUAUAUUAAACUUAAAAAUCAAAAUUGUUUUCUUGAAUGAUAAAUCAUUUCAAUAUUUAUCAUGAAUAUCGUAGUUACAAUUCGCGUUAAUGAAAGAAAAUGUGGCUGUUUUGUUCCAUGUUGUCAAGAACAAUAUUCAGUAACUAGCGUGCGUAUAAGUGAAUAGCGUUGUACUUUAUACAUCGAUCCGACCUGUCAAUCAAACUAAUCAUUAUUGACCAAUGAGAAAGCUGCAAAUUGUUAACCGAGUCCCGUCCGCCAUCUUUACCCCCACACAGAGCAACGAUAACUGUUUACAACCGGACAUUUUAUUGAAGUUUUAAGACUUAUUUGUGAAUAUGGUUAAACGAUACGGAUGGGGAAUAUGUUAUGCGGAUGAACGGUAUCCGGAGGGACUAAAUGGAGGCCGAUUUAAACGAUUUCCGACCCAUAAUCCGUCAUUGAGAAGUGCAAAUGCUGUGUACGGCUACACGAGAAACUGAAUGUUAACAGGAUAAACCAGCACGAAGAUGUCUGCUCGAAGGUUAGUAAAUUAAAAUUUGGUUUUAUCGUAAAAUGAUCAAAAUAAAAUCAUUUCAAUUAUAAUUCUGAAUACUGCAAAUGUUUAUUUUGUUUACUUUAUUGUGUCCUAAAUAUUGACCUCCAUGAUCAUGCUAGUUGAAACCUUAAACAGUUUCCAUCAUGAAUGUGUCAAGUUUAAACUACUGUUUUAUUGUAUAAUAUGUUACUGACUGGCAUUGUGGAGUCUUGUCACACUAAUUAUAUCUUACUAUUAUGCAGAUUUAAGCACUUUCAUGGAGGAAAUGGACCAUCUAAAGAGUAUCCUGACCCAUUAUCAGCUGAUGGCUGGAGAAUAACAUCUUCAAAAAAACACCCCACAAAGCGAUCACUUGGAAAGGAAUCUUAUGGCAGCAUUUAUACACAAAAUGCAAGUGUAUGCAUUUAAUACAAGAUAUCACAUGCCUAGAAAAGCUGGUCCAGGAUCCUGCAGGCACUGUAACAGGAGUAGAAACACAGACCGAAUGUCCAUGGACAUCACCUUUGGAUAUGUUUGCACUUACCGCUCAGAAUGCUUCCCUAAAAGAACAGUUGUCACAAAAAGAAGUCCAAGUUGAAGAAUUACAGUUUGCACUUUCAUCAAAGUGUUGUGAAAUUCAGAUUUUAAAGCAACUGGUGGGAUUAUAAACAAACUUUAAAUGUCGAUAUAGUUCUGCUGAAAGAAGCAAGAGUUAAAAUUUGUUUAAAUAUUAUACAGAAAUCAUAUGAUUUUAUUUCUGCUUCUUUGAUAUAAUUGAAUAACUGUUAGUUUAUUCAUGUUUGGAAUA